rnacentral:rRNA from 1 species
GUGGGGAAUUUUGGACAAUGGGCGCAAGCCUGAUCCAGCAAUGCCGCGUGCAGGAAGAAGGCCUUCGGGUUGUAAACUGCUUUUGUACGGAACGAAACGGUCCUGGUUAAUACCUGGGGCUAAUGACGGUACCGUAAGAAUAAGCACCGGCUAACUUCGUGCCAGCAGCCGCGGUAAUACGAAGGGUGCAAGCGUUAAUCGGAAUUACUGGGCGUAAAGCGCGCGUAGGUGGUUUUGUAAGUUGGAGGUGAAAUCCCCGGGCUCAACCUGGGAAUUGCGCUUGUGACUGCAAGGCUGGAGUGCGGCAGAGGGGGAUGGAAUUCCGCGUGUAGCAGUGAAAUGCGUAGAUAUGCGGAGGAACACCGAUGGCGAAGGCAAUCCCCUGGGCCUGCACUGACGCUCAUGCACGAAAGCGUGGGGAGCAAACAGGAUUAGAAACCCGGGUAGUCC